ACCAGGUGACACACACCUGUUGUCCCAGCUACUCAGGAUGCUGAGGCAGGAGUAACUCUUGAGCCCAGGAGUUCUGGGUUGUAUGUGCUAUGUUGAUCAGGUGUCUACACUAAGAUUGGCAUCAACAUAUUAUCUUCCAGGGAGCAGAGGACCACUAGGUUGCCUAAGGAGUGAUGAACCAGCGCAACUCAAAAAUUGAGCAGGAUAAAACUCCUCUGCUUAUCAGUAGUGGGAUAAGUCCUUGGAAUACUGACUCCACUCCAAUCUGGGCAACGUAGUGAGACUCUAUUUCU
rnacentral:SRP_RNA from 1 species